GUUUGAAGCUGGUGUCUGAAACUUGUUUUUAUUAAAGAUGGAAAUUCACUGAAUAGGCAGAUGGACUUGAAGGCCUUUACACUGCUUUUGAGAUCAAGAUGCUGGAUCCCACUUGCAAAGCAGAGAGAGCACUUAGAUUAACAAGCUGGUUCAGCUGUGAAUUUCCCUUGACUGCUGAUUGAGAUUUCAGCAGAUUCCCUGUCACCAAGAAUCCAGCAAUCCAUUGUGGGAGACCAACACUUACAACUGUACUUCUUUAUGAGAUGGGGAACUUGAUCUGCCUGAAUGGGUGAAGGAAGGCAUCUUGGAGGAAGUGAUCCUUGAGAUGAUCCAUGAAAAAGGAGCAGGAAUUUUUCAAGUGAGU
ensembl:lncRNA